AACACUGUGAAACCGUGGUAUUUUUGCUAAAGGUAAUCAUACCGCCAGAAUCUUAUACUGGCCCAUGCCUACUAAGCGGUUGUACAAUGUGUUAGAAACAUCAAGAUUCUCACAUUUUUAGGGCUAGCGCAAUACCACAGUUUUGUCUAUUCUUCAUGUUCUCUAGGGCAGUUAUUUUGCCCCAGUGACAGAAACAGCGACAGUAAUCAAAUAAUUCAUUACCUUAUCUACAUGUGGGUAGAGGCCCACAGGUGAAGGAAGAUUUUUGGCCUGCACUUCCACAGCUGGUAAACAUGGAUUGUGGUGGGCUAGUGACAGAAUGAAGAAGAUCAGUUUAAAAUGUGCUUUACAACCAGAGGUUGCAUUAUUUUGACAGACAAGGGCUGUAAGAAAAUUGUCAAAAUCAAUAAUAUGAGCCAACAGCCAAACUAUAACAACUAAACUCAAUCAACUAUCUUAAUCUGCCUGAACUCAAAUCUUGUGGUCUAUAAAGUGGGAGUUUAUCUGUGUGUAAUUCAACCAUCAUGUUAGACUGAAGGAAUUGCAGUUAUCAUUAGAUUUCACGACAGCACUGGACAAAUUACUUCUCACACUCAGUGUGACUUGAGACAAAGGAUAAACAAAGACAUUGAGUAUGUUUACAUGCACAUAAUAAGAGGACAAUUAUCUUAUUAUGAUAUUAUAAAAAUCAGCUUAUUACAUUAACAUGUUUCAAGCGUUUUAAUUUACUUUUAUUUGUUAAGUUUAUCUAUCACAGGUGGAGACAUACGCACAUACGAAACGGCAAAAAAGACGUUAAAAUCUGGUUUAAGAGCAAAAAAACUACCUGUGCCAAUCAGUUUUUGCCAUUUAUGGGCUUUACCCUAUAAAAGAAAACCAUUUUAUGCAUUUAAAUGACCUUACACGUUAUCAGUUUAUUAAGCGUUUAGACUAUGUAGACACACUCACUGUGCACUAAAAUAAAAAAAAAAUGGUUAACACGACCCCUCGUGGUGGCUUCACUCAGAGGUUGGAGAAGACAACCGGUGGACUAAACAUCAAGCCUCUGCACGAUUCAGGUAAGUGGAAUAAAAUACAUUGUAAAUAAACAUUAUUAAAACAGAUUGUGAAGUCAUUCAUUCAAAACUUGCUAUGACCUAAGCCUAAAUGACUUAAUUUCUUUUUAGAAUUAAGACAACCUUAGCAGGAGAGCCCCAGCAGUAACUUUCUCUCAAGCAGAUGAGCAAUAAGUUGCUUUGUAUGAACACCACCCUAACAAUCAAGUAGCCUGUUAACAGUAGACCAAAGGUAUGAUGAUCAAUUAUAAAUGCAAUAUGGUUGAAAGGUCAGUAAACAAACAACAAAAAGCUUGACAAAAAUGUAGCUUGAAGGAGAAGGGACAGCUGAGUAACAAAGUCCUGGUACGCAGACGACGAUACUAUUACACUGACAAGAGUGUAAUGAUGAUGGAGACACAAGCCAGAGAAAGGGGGGACCAAACACCAGGCCAGAAUUCUGCAUGAGUCAGAUCCAGUGGGUGCAGAUCAUCAUACAGAUGGUUCAAGUGUGGAUCCACCUAAUAUUCAAGAUUUUCUGUCCUGGGACACUCGGCUAACCAUCAAGAAAGAAAACACUCCAGUGGGCAUCCUUUAUCCAUCCAGACCCUCAUACAGAUGGUUGGAGUUUUGAUUCACCUAAAGUACCAUGCAAGAGCACUCAUUUUCACUCUUGAGACCAUGGUGUGACCUGCAAGGUCGAAUGGAGACUGUAAACGAGACAAUCUUGGAGUCACCUGCAUUCACUGGUCCAAUUGUUAAUCCAAUUACAGAUGGAGAUUAUAGAAGAGGAUGAUGUCUUUUCUCCAACAUCUUUCUAGACUGAUAAAAGAUCUAGACAGGCUUGAACAAAAGUUAACAGAGGGGCUUAUAUAGAGAAUGGUGAGCAGCUACACAUAAAAGAAGAACAUGGAGAAUCUGCCCAGAGGUGUUAACCAGCAAUGCAGCUAUACAACUAAAUUGAUGCAGGCGGAAACAAUAAUGCAGCUGCUGCAGAUGAAGAAUCUGUCCGUCUACCACUGAAGGAGACGCGGAAAAUCGGGAAAAGAUGUUCUUUGCCCGAGGAAGCAUUUGAUUAAUUUAAAGAUAUUGUGUUUCUUUGUAUGUUAUAGAAAAACAUUGCUUUUUUUGCAUACACUCGUGUAAAUAUGCAUCUUAUGAAUGUUUUCCUUUGUCUAAUUUUAAUAAAUUUUACGCAAUCAACUGCCUGUUUUAUUGAAAAAACUGUUUUAAUUGUUGUCAAUGAUAUAUUGUAAUAAUAUGUGUGUAUAACUGUGUAGAAGAUGUAGUUUAGAGCAAUUUAUUUUUAAUGAUCUUUUAAUCGUCUUUUAAAGCUCUCAGAAACAUCUUAGAAAGAGCUCGAUUAAAGCUCUUAUAAAGAUCUUUUAAAGAUCUAAGAAACAUCUUGGAAAUAUCUUAGAAACAUCUGCUAACCAUCAUUCUAAAUAUCAAGCGUCUUGAAAAGAUCUUAAAAGCGUCUUCAAAACGGCUGGGCUCGUACGUCUCAGAUACGUAAUUCAUAUGGGCAAACGACCUUUAUAAUACGUUUUCCAGACGGAAUGGAAAUCUGAGUGAUUACC